UACGGGGGGAGCAAGCGUUGUUCGGAUUUACUGGGCGUAAAGGGCGCGUAGGCGGUCAGCACAAGUCAGUUGUGAAAUCUCCGGGCUUAACUCGGAAAGGUCAACUGAUACUGUGCGACUAGAGUGCAGAAGGGGCAACUGGAAUUCUCGGUGUAGCGGUGAAAUGCGUAGAUAUCGAGAGGAACACCAGCGGCGAAGGCGGCAUCCUGGACUGGUCCUGACACUCAGGAGCGAAAGCGUGGGGAGCGAUCCGG
rnacentral:rRNA from 1 species